GCAUUGGUGGUUCUUUGCUAGAAUUCUCGUCUGCCAUGCGGGAGGCCCGGGUUCGAUUCCCGGCCAAUGCA
rnacentral:tRNA from 1 species